GUGCUGUGUCAAGUAUCACAUUGGGCACACACUUCUCAUAGAAAAGAAGAAUCUAUCAUUAAAAUGCGUACUAUCAACUUAAUUUUAAGAUAACCUUAAUUUUAAUUAUGUUAGAAAAAUGCUACCUAUGAGAUUAUUGCAUUUUUAAGUUAAAAUACUCAACCUCAUUACUUGUUUUAUUCUCUCGUCCCUGACACUCUCAAAGAUUUUCAUUAUGCCCACUUUAAAACUGCGGUUGUUAAACCACCAUGCAUGGUGACAUCACUAAUUAGUCUGACAGCGGUGAGAAGAUUGCUUUUGGAGUGUGUAAAAAUAUCUGACACUGAUCUCUGCAGAAGUGAUCAACUAUGCAUUCUCUUGCCAUACGGUAUACUGAUGUUUAAAUUAUAUCAGCACAAUGGGUUGUGACACCGGAUACUGAAGCUUUAGGGGGUUCUAAUAUAUAUUUUCAGAUCCACACAGUACACUGUUUAGUGAAUAAAUUGAAUCUCUUAGCAAUCUUCUCCCACGGCUAAAAUUGACACAAACAUAGCUGGCACUGCCAUAGACCAGCAGCUUAGUUAAAAACAUUCAUGAGACAAUUCUAUAUAUCUAUUAAAAAAAAAAAAAAUCAGAAAAAUAAGAUUCAAUGGAUC